rnacentral:rRNA from 1 species
AUUGAACGCUGGCGGCAUGCCUUACACAUGCAAGUCGAACGGUAACAGGUCUUCGGAUGCUGACGAGUGGCGAACGGGUGAGUAAUACAUCGGAACGUGCCCGAGAGUGGGGGAUAACGAGGCGAAAGCUUUGCUAAUACCGCAUACGAUCUCAGGAUGAAAGCAGGGGACCGCAAGGCCUUGCGCUCACGGAGCGGCCGAUGGCAGAGUAGGUAGUUGGUGGGAUAAAAGCUUACCAAGCCGGCGAUCUGUAGCUGGUCUGAGAGGACGACCAGCCACACUGGGACUGAGACACGGCCCAGACUCCUACGGGAGGCAGCAGUGGGGAAUUUUGGAAAAUGGGCGCAAGCCUGAUCCAGCCAUGCCGCGUGCAGGAUGAAGGCCUUCGGGUUGUAAACUGCUUUUGUACGGAACGAAAAGACUCCUUCUAAUAAAGGGGGUUCAUGACGGUACCGUAAGAAUAAGCACCGGCUAACUACGUGCCAGCCGCCGCAGUAAAAC